UGCCCAGCAACUCAUAUCCUUACCUCCUCGUGGUACUGGCCGAGGUACGAGUAACCUUAGGGAAGAUCGGGUAACCAACCCCGGUGGGAACUCUGGUCGUAUGCUGACAGGGAAGG
rnacentral:ribozyme from 1 species